rnacentral:rRNA from 1 species
AUUGAACGCUGGCGGCAUGCUUUACACAUGCAAGUCGAACGGUAACAGGCCUUCGGGUGCUGACGAGUGGCGCACGGGUGAGUAAUGCAUCGGAACGUACCCAGAGGUGGGGGAUAACGCAGCGAAAGCUGUGCUAAUACCGCAUGUGAUCUGAGGAUGAAAGCGGGGGACCGAGCAGCAAUGUUUGGCCUCGCGCCUUUGGAGCGGCCGAUGUCGGAUUAGCUAGUUGGUGGGGUAAAGGCCUACCAAGGCGACGAUCCGUAGCUGGUCUGAGAGGACGACCAGCCACACUGGGACUGAGACACGGCCCAGACUCCUACGGGAGGCAGCAGUGGGGAAUUUUGGACAAUGGGCGCAAGCCUGAUCCAGCAAUGCCGCGUGCGGGAAGAAGGCCUUCGGGUUGUAAACCGCCUUUGGCAGGAACGAAACGGUGUCCGCUAAUACCGGGCGCUAAUGACGGUACCUGCAGAAUAAGCACCGGCUAACUACGUG